GGUUUCCUAUGCUCAGAAUACUGCCCAGUGAGUCAGUUGACUUCCUGUUGCCUGUAAGAUGUAGGACUCUCAGCUACUACAGUAGCAUGUCCGCCUGCACACUGCCAUGUUCUUGUCAUGAUGAUAAUGAACUGAACCUCUGAAACUAUCCUUGUGCCAGCUGUACAUGGGCUUUGGACAGCCUGGGGACACAAACUCCUAGAUGCUCUGCGCAUCACUGUAGCUGGCUAAAUGAUUCUGCCGCCAGUCAUUCUUGGAAUACUGCAAGGGAAAAACCUUCAGAAACAAAGCACCGCAUGAGAGGAACUGAAGGCUAGCACCUGGACCAUCAGAAAGAGAUCAGAAGGAAGAGAUGAGGGGAGAGAGGACUUGUAUGGAGUAAAGACAACAUGACGAGACAGCGACAUGGGGAGAGAGCUGUAUGAGGAUGAAGGAAGAGAUUGGAGCAAUUCAUCUGUAAACCACAAACGCCCAGCCAACCACCAGACACCAGGAGUGAGUACAGAACAAACUCUCUCCCCCAGCCCU